CUCUGUUCAUUGGAUCCUGCAAGAGGCUGGACAUUUGUUCAGUUAUGGCCUGACUCAAGAGCCCAUCUCCAACCUCCAUGCUGCACAGGAAGGGAAGAAUGUGGCAUGGACUCAUUGUCAGCCCAGGACCUGGUGACAAUUCAGUCUCUGGCCUUGGAGACCCUGUUUGCAGGCACAGACAGUGCCAUUAGGCUGGAAAAGGUUGGAACAGAGGGAGCCCAGGGGCUGAGGGAAGAGGAACAGAAAGUCAGAGGAGGCUUGGAGAGGAGGUCUAGGUGAUGGUCGAGGCCUUUGCUUGGUUUCCCCAGGAACGACAGUACAGGGACAUCAAGGAACCUACUCGGGGCAAGAUGGCCAUCCCAAGGAAUGCUACCUCAAUACGGAGAAAGAGACUCUGCUGACACGAUGGAGUUGAGGGUUUUGGGAGAGAGAGAUGAGGCUGGAUUAACUGGCUGGGCCUGAUGCCAUCACAGGGUCCCGAGUGAGGAAGGCAGGAGGCUCAGAGUCAGCGGAGGGGAUGUGACCACAGGAGCAGAGGUGGGAGAGAUGUCCUUGCAUCUGGAAAGGGCCACAAGCUGAGGAAUUCGGGUGCCUCUAGGAAUUGGAGCAGGCAAGGAAACGGAUUCACCCCCGCAGCCCCCAGCAGGGCCCCGUGCUGCUGCUGCCUUGACAUGAGGUGUUCAUGAGUCUCCUUUCCAACUGCUGUCCUCCGGAUCUGUACAAGACUAAAUCUGUGUUGUUUUAAGCUACUGCAUUUGUGAUAGUUUAUAUUACAGCAGCUACGGGACACUCACAUAAUACCCAAGAGAGAUGUGUGCAUUCAUUUCACCAGGAGACCUGGAUGCGAAGGUUCACAGCAGCUUAACUGAUAAUGGCCAGAAGGUGGAAACAACCCAAGUUUCCUCAAAAGGUGAUGGAGAAACACAGCGUGGUGCGUCCACACAAUGCAGUGGGCACAGAUCCAGGCUGAUAACUAUCACUAGGCACAGAUCCAGGCUGGGGCCAAGAUGGGAACCUUCAUCUUUUGCUUCCUGGCCAGAGUGCUCUGACUCAGCACCUGCCUUGUCAAAGCCCUGGUGGACCCGUGGGAUUGCCCAGUUCUUGCAUCUUCACUGGGAGGAAAGCGGAGAUGAUGACUCCAUUUUACAGUUGGGUAAAGUGAGGCUCAGGGCCAUGCUGCCCAGGGAGGAGCUGAAGAGAGAUCUGAGGCCUGCUGGGGACCAGAUCUUCUCAAUGGUGGUUCCUUUUGGCAGCCUCUCUCCAAGCCCAGUGCAGAGCCUGGCACACGGGAGAGCUUUAAGGGAGUUUGCUGAAUAAAUGACAGAGAGCA